GUAGUACUCUUUCCGUCCCAAAAUAUUUGUCAUCAAAAUGAACAAAAAAGAUGUAUCCAGAAAUAAAAUACGUCUAGAUACAUCCCCUUUUAUCCAUUUUGAUGACAAGUAUUUCCGGACGGAGGGAGUAGAUG
rfam:Triticum aestivum genome assembly, contig: Triticum_aestivum_CS42_TGACv1_scaffold_342519_4DL